rfam:Myotis davidii contig129713, whole genome shotgun sequence.
AGGCCCGGAGAGAAAGGCAGGGUCUGAUCCGCAGCCUUCGUGGCAGCUGUUAACCAGCCAUUGCCUCUCUCUUUCUCUACA